CAUCUUUUCAAAUAUGUCGAGUUCAAUAACUAUAAUCAGUAAAGGAAAUAAAUAGUAUGUGUUUAUUUCAAUUCGCUGGUUUUUUGGAGUUUUAAAACCUUAACCAAUCAUUCUUUAGUUUUAUAGUUAUUAUUUGGUUCCCUGCUUAAUAAAGGCAUAAGUACUUGUAAAACUUCUAUAUCAACAGUUAAGUCCAUGUUUCUGAAGCAUGGGCUGAGCGUGCUCUAAUUAUUGCUCGGCUUGGGCGUGAAUUUCAUAUUCCUAGUCUAGAUAAAAAUUCAUUGAAUCGGUUGGUGCACGAGUGGGAGUAAUGAAACUUAUAAUCAAUUUGAUACUUAUCGUCUGGUGAAUUCUUUUGUUCAGUAAAAAAAACAGUGUAUAUCAUGGUUUAAGCUACCAAAGCAGUGCAAACGGAGCCAAAAUACUUUAAUUACGCUGCUACAGUAACAAUAAGAAGAGUUUUUGCGUAGGUUGUUUGAAAUGUCACAUUUAGGUGAUUCACAUGAGCCAUUUCAUUAAACUACCACGUUCUCUCAACCUUUCAACGUUAUUUAUACUCGACAGCAUUUGAAAUUAUCUAUUGCCCCUAUGAGAAAAAAGCAAUUUCCCACUUCAUGCUACCAUAUAUAAAAUCCAACCACGAACGUGUCAAUGUCGUGAGUAAAAUUAUUCAUUUAAUUUUAGAGCCAAGAAAUAUAGCUAAUAUUGAAUAGAAAUUGAUCUAGAAGAAAUAAAAUUCAUGGUACCACAAUGUGAGGCAUGAGAUUUGGAGACGCCAUAUAUACAGUAAUAAAUAUACUCAGCAACCAAAAAACGAUUGGAAAAACAAAGUGGUUGAAUCAGACAUAUUUAAAAUGU